CAGAAUUAGAUUUUGUCCCAGGUGAAAUAUCCAACGUGGAAUUAUUCGAUCUGCCCAAGUGGCAAAGUUUCUUGGAGAUGCAAAUAUAAUUCUGCUAUGACCUGGACUAACCGGAAUACAGAUGAAAACUAAAAGUGCUUUUUUCUGCUUCUCAGCUGAAGGUUUUUCCUGUACAGUUCCAGAUGAUACAGCAGUUGUUUUUCCCUGAGAUCCUCCGAAAGCAAAAUAACUAUAAUACACACAAGGCGGAACAAAUGUGUUCCGUCCAGGUCCCUGGUUUGCAGUAAUGACAUUUACAUCCAACUUCGUGAUAGUUAUGUCAAGUGGUCUUCCUCCUUCUCGAUCAGCUUUCACACUUUGGGGGGCUACUGGAACAUUCAUAAUGCCAUAAUGUGAAUAUUGGACAUGAGCUGGGUCCAUAAGGUUUUCAAUCAGAAGCUCAUACCCAUAUGAUAUAUCUCUGACUAUGAAAGUUUUCGAAAACGAACUGUCAUCAAGUUCAGGUAUAUAGGGAGGCCUUUUCAUCAAAUAUAUGUCCUUGUAUAGAGGAUCAGAGUUCGGCCAAAACCAAAGAAUGUCAUUUUGCACACAACUUGGAUAAACAGCGCGCAAGCUCUUUUGG
rnacentral:misc_RNA from 1 species